GCCGGUGUGGUGAAAUUGGUAUACACGACGGAUUCAAAAUCCGUUGCAGAAAUGCGUGGCGGUUCGAGUCCGCCCACCGGUA
rnacentral:tRNA from 1 species